rnacentral:lncRNA from 1 species
CUCUUUUGUUCUGGAACGGGCCGAGCCCCAGGAAGUGGAGCUGCGGAGCUGAGGCCUCACCGUGUCUUGGCCCACCCUGCUCAGCUGAUAGGAAGGUGUGUCACCUCUUUCCUAAUCGGGGAAAGAAAGGUAUUGUCACUUCUCAGAAUUGGAGAGCGCGGCAAGGAGUGCACAGGGCCAGGUGUCUUCUCGCUCCCACAGCCAAGCAGCAGAUGCAGAGUCCCACGCGCUGCCUGUGGCCAUCAAGUCGAUAUAGAGCCUCGUGGCGGCUUGGCCCUUGUGAAUCUUCCACGUAUCGAUGGCGCACCUACCUUGUGCCAGGCGCAGCGGAUCCCACAAUGUAAAAGAAGAGGAAAUACACUGCGACAUGUGAUAUGGAGAGACAUGAAACAAAUCAGCAGAGGCAAGAUCAUGGAGUCACUGAAGGCUUUCAAGCAAGGGAUUAUUAGCAGCCCAAUUUGCUGGGUUUUAGAAAGACACCGGCUGCACUGUGGCCGACAGAGGAAAAGCCAGAGACAGGGAGAUCCGCCCCCUAAAUGGGAGAGGGUGGCCUGAACUAGAGUAACCGCAGGGAGGGUGGAGCGCUGAUCAUUUCAAGGAUCUUCAGGAACUGAAAUGAUCAGAACUUGGGAAUGACUGCAUGUGCGAAUAAGGGGGAAAAGUCAAGGAAAUGCCCAGGUUUGGGGCCCAAGGAACAGGUUUGGGAGGCCGAGGUGAGGAGUUCAGCUUUGGACAUAAUGAGUUUGAGAUGCCCACAGGACAUCCAAAUACAAAUGUUAAAGGGGUAACUGAAUAUAUGUGACUGGAGUUUGCGAAAUCAAGGCUGGUGAUAGAGAUUCUGGAAUCUUCUGAAAGCAGAUGGCAAUUGAAGCUAUGGAAAUGGAUGAGAGAGUGUGUAAAGAGCACGAGGGCCCAGGUUAGAACAGCAAGGGCAGGUAGAGAAGUCACCAAAGGACACUGACCAGGUAGGAGUACGGUGUAACGGCAGCUAAAGAAGGGCGCUUCAAGAGGGAACAUCAACAGUGAUGAACACUCUGGAGAGAACAUGUCACAUGUAACGACUGAGAAGUGGCCACAAGAUUUAGAAAUCAGGGUGGUGGUGGUGACCCGGGCUACAGCAGUUUUAGUGGAGAGAAGGAAAUGGAGAUAAUUGUAGAGAAUAAUCCAGUGACUUCACUGUGAAGGAGCAAUUGGUAUCUGGAGGGGCACAUGACAUUCAGAGACUUAUUUUUAUCAUAUUUGAAGAUUGGUAGGAAAGAGCCAGGAGAAGAGAGGUUACAGCAGAGGACGGUUCCUGAAGAGGUAGGAUCUGAGCUCAAGUAGAGAUUGAGUUCUCUACAGGAGGCCUUAGACACUCCUUCCUUCCUAAGGGAAAGCUUAGGUGGACAUGUAGCUGUGUUUGUAGGUUUGGUGAUGGGAGGUGGAAUUUCUUUCAUUAACUAAGGCGGGGGAGGUGUUGAAGGUAUAUUGGGACUCUUGAGAAUGGCAAAGGGCUGACUAUUGCAACUCACCCAGCGGUAGACAGUUAAGGGAGACCGUGAAAUCAUCUAUGAUCCCAAUCUAUAGUUACCUUAUUUUAUUUUUGUUUAUUUUUGAGACAGGGGGAUGGGAAGAGCCUGUCGCCCA